GGCCUUGAUCAGCUGGCCUCUAGGUGCUACUGCAAUAUAAACGUUUAAUGUAAUAACUUAAAAUAGUAGGGCUUUAACCACACUGUAUUAUUUGUCAUACUAAGGGAGACCUGCACAGCUAGCUUUAUUUAUGGCAGGAGGGACUCAAACAUGACAGAAAGGCACUGAUCUGAGCAGAGAAGAAGACAGCAUACUCUGGCAGAGAACUUUCUUUCUUUAAGCGAAGGAUUGCAUACUUCCGUUUGCUAAGAAAUAUGGUGAGCCCCUGGAUGAGGACUGGGGUCUUACACACCAGCUACUCAAGCAACUGAAGUGGAGAGAACAAAACAGCACAGCACAGCUCCUAAAAGGAGGGAAAAAAACAGAAGGAAAGAUGGAUAUGUUCAUAUCAUCCUUAAAAUAGGUAGCUUGUCCCUGGCACCUGCUGCUGACCAGCAGAUGUUUCCUGUGCCUCAGGGGUGGACCCGUACAGUCGAAGAUGACUGAAGGCUGAUCUGCAAAGUUCCUGUCUCAGGCGCUGAGUUUAUAAUUAAUAAUCACUCCUGUGUACCCAGCCCCACUGAACUCAGCUAGAGACCUCUCUGUUUGGAUGAUUCGAUCUAGGGAGCUACGGAUGAAGAGUCCCUUCCUUUCUGCAGCAUGGCAGCCUAUGCAAAGUUUAGAUUCCUUACAUUGGUUCUUCAAAUGUAUGUUUAAGCAUCUGAAUACCUGGUGUACCAUGGAGG
rnacentral:lncRNA from 1 species